GCUCUUGCUUUCUUCCUCUCCCCCAAAAAAUCUGCCUGCACCAGUUGCAUACCCAGCUGCAUGCACCACCUUUGAAUGUUGAAGAAGAAGGGUGACCAAGGGAAAGACAGAAGUGGUCGAAGCCAUGGAAGGAGAAGGAGUCUAGACCCCUUCCCCAUAACUGACUAGCAGCUAUGAUUGCAACAACAACCACCCUCUCCAAGAAGAAGACCCACCUACACUAGUUACAUGUCCCAUACCUUAACUAUUUGAAGAAGAAGAGAGCUAGGGAGUUACGUUGAUGACUGAAACCAUGAGAGGAGAGGGGGUGUGACGGACCCGCUAUACAACAGAGAUGGAAGAGAAGGAAAAACCGAG
rnacentral:lncRNA from 1 species